AAACCUGUGGAGUGUGUUUUCUGCUUAGAGCGUGGGAGUGUGCAACCUCUCUUCUUUGACUGUUUAAUAGCCAAGAUUGUUUGGGAGGAGAUUAGUUCCUUUCUCUCUAAACAAAUUUGCAUCUCUGUGGAAUCUAUUUCUUCAUGUUGGAUUGCGAGCAAGAAAAUGGAUGCCAUUAACUCUGUUUCAUCUGUUGUUUUAUGGUAUAUAUGGAAGCACAGGAACAACAUGAUUUUUAACAGUGUUGUUUGACUUUCUUUAACCCAGGUUUGGUCGAUGGUUUUAAGAACUGUCAAGAAAUGGCGCCUCCUAUUCAAGGACCACAUGCUGGAACAGAUGGACAAUUUCUGCCCCCACCUACAAGGCUUGCUGAGAAGACACACACAACUGGAGUGGGGGUGA
rnacentral:rRNA from 1 species